rnacentral:rRNA from 1 species
UGAGGAAUAUUGCGCAAUGGGCGAAAGCCUGACGCAGCGACGCCGCGUGGGGGAUGAAGGUCUUCGGAUUGUAAACCCCUUUCGGGAGGGAAGACGGCCUUAGACAACUAAGGCGGACGGUACCUCCAGAAGCAGCCACGGCUAACUUCGUGCCAGCAGCCGCGGUAAUACGAAGGUGGCAAGCGUUGUUCGGAUUUACUGGGCGUAAAGGGAGCGUAGGUGGUUAGGUAAGCCCUCCGGGAAAUCUUCAGGCUUAACCUGAAAAGGUCGGGGGGGACUGCCUAGCUAGAGGGCGGGAGAGGAGCGCGGAAUUCCCGGUGUAGCGGUGAAAUGCGUAGAGAUCGGGAGGAAGGCCGGUGGCGAAGGCGGCGCUCUGGAACGUUUCUGACACUGAGGCUCGAAAGCGUGGGGAGCAAACA